rnacentral:rRNA from 1 species
UGGGGAAUUUUGCGCAAUGGGGGAAACCCUGACGCAGCAACGCCGCGUGAGUGAUGAAGGCUUUCGGGUCGUAAAGCUCUGUCUAGAGGGAAGAAAUGAUAAUCGGUUAAUACCCGGUUUUCUUGACGGUACCUCUGAAGGAAGCACCGGCUAACUCCGUGCCAGCAGCCGCGGUAAUACGGAGGGUGCAAGCGUUGUUCGGAUUUAUUGGGCGUAAAGCGCGUGUAGGCGGUUUGUUAAGUCUGAUGUGAAAGCCCCGGGCUCAACCUGGGAAGUGCAUUUGAAACUGGCAGACUUGAAUACGGGAGAGGGUAGUGGAAUUCCUAGUGUAGGAGUGAAAUCCGUAGAUAUUAGGAGGAACACCGGUGGCGAAGGCGGCUACCUGGACCGAUAUUGACGCUGAGACGCGAAAGCGUGGGGAGCAAACA